rnacentral:rRNA from 1 species
GACGAACGCUGGCGGCGUGCUUAACACAUGCAAGUCGAACGGAAAGGCCCUGCUUUUGUGGGGUGCUCGAGUGGCGAACGGGUGAGUAACACGUGAGUAACCUGCCCUUGACUUUGGGAUAACUUCAGGAAACUGGGGCUAAUACCGGAUAGGAGCUCCUGCUGCAUGGUGGGGGUUGGAAAGUUUCGGCGGUUGGGGAUGGACUCGCGGCUUAUCAGCUUGUUGGUGGGGUAGUGGCUUACCAAGGCUUUGACGGGUAGCCGGCCUGAGAGGGUAACCGGCCACAUGGGGACGGAGAUACGGCCCAGACUCCUACGGGAGGCAGCAGUGGGGAAAAUGGCACAAGGGGCGGAAGCCUGAUGCAGCAACGCCGCGUGCGGGAUGACGGCCUUCGGGUUGUAAACCGCUUUCGCCUGUGACGAAGCGUGAGUGACGGUAAUGGGAAAAGAAGCACCGGCUAACUACGU